rnacentral:rRNA from 1 species
ACGGGUGAGUAAUAUAUCGGAACGUACCCUGGAGUGGGGGAUAACGUAGCGAAAGUUACGCUAAUACCGCAUACGAUCUAAGGAUGAAAGUGGGGGAUCGCAAGACCUCAUGCUCCUGGAGCGGCCGAUAUCUGAUUAGCUAGUUGGUGGGGUAAAGGCCUACCAAGGCAUCGAUCAGUAGCUGGUCUGAGAGGACGACCAGCCACACUGGAACUGAGACACGGUCCAGACUCCUACGGGAGGCAGCAGUGGGGAAUUUUGGACAAUGGGCGCAAGCCUGAUCCAGCAAUGCCGCGUGAGUGAAGAAGGCCUUCGGGUUGUAAAACUCUUUUGUCAGGGAAGAAACGGUCGUGGCUAAUAUCCAUGGCUAAUGACGGUACCUGAAGAAUAAGCACCGGCUAACUACGUGCCAGCAGCCGCGGUAAUACGUAGGGUGCAAGCGUUAAUCGGAAUUACUGAGCGUAAAGCGUGCGCAGGCGGUUUUGUAAGUCUGUCGUGAAAUCCCCGGGCUCAACCUGGGAAUUGCGAUGGAGACUGCAAGGCUAGAAUCUGGCAGAGGGGGGUAGAAUUCCACGUGUAGCAGUG